CCUCUACAUUGUUAGAGCUUGGAGUUGAGGCCACUGCCUGGCCAGUGAACUUGCAAGUGUGGGUAGUACUACACGAGGAGGGGCAAAUCUUUUGCUCACAAGGGGCUCUGUUUGGCCCAGUCAAUGAAUGUUAUAGUAAUUCUUACUGCAAGU
ensembl:snoRNA SNORA62 Small nucleolar RNA SNORA62/SNORA6 family